rnacentral:rRNA from 1 species
GUGGGGAAUCUUGCGCAAUGGGCGAAAGCCUGACGCAGCCAUGCCGCGUGAAUGAUGAAGGUCUUAGGAUUGUAAAAUUCUUUCACCGGGGACGAUAAUGACGGUACCCGGAGAAGAAGCUCCGGCUAACUUCGUGCCAGCAGCCGCGGUAAUACGAAGGGGGCUAGCGUUGCUCGGAAUUACUGGGCGUAAAGGGCGCGUAGGCGGACAGCUUAGUCAGAGGUGAAAGCCCAGGGCUCAACCUUGGAAUUGCCUUUGAUACUGGCUGUCUUGAGUUUGGGAGAGGUGAGUGGAACUCCGAGUGUAGAGGUGAAAUUCGUAGAUAUUCGGAAGAACACCAGUGGCGAAGGCGACUCACUGGCCCAAUACUGACGCUGAGGCGCGAAAGCGUGGGGAGCAAACAGGAUUAGAUACCUGUGUAGUCC